GACGAACGCUGGCGGCGUGCUUAACACAUGCAAGUCGAACGGUAAGGCCCUUCGGGGUACACGAGUGGCGAACGGGUGAGUAACACGUGGGUGAUCUGCCCUGCACUUCGGGAUAAGCCUGGGAAACUGGGUCUAAUACCGGAUAGGACCACUGCCUGCAUGGGUGGUGGUGGAAAGCUUUUGCGGUGUGGGAUGGGCCCGCGGCCUAUCAGCUUGUGGGUGGGGUGAUGGCCUACCAAGGCGACGACGGGUAGCCGGCCUGAGAGGGUGACCGGCCGCACUGGGACUGAGAUACGGCCCAGACUCCUACGGGAGGCAGCAGUGGGGAAUAUUGCACAAUGGGCGCAAGCCUGAUGCAGCGACGCCGCGUGAGGGAUGACGGCCUUCGGGUUGUAAACCUCUUUCAGCACCGACGAAGCGCAAGUGACGGUAGGUGCAGAAGAAGGACCGGCCAACUACGUGCCAGCCGCCGCCGUAAAAC
rnacentral:rRNA from 1 species